rnacentral:rRNA from 1 species
CGGGACACGUGGUAUCCUGUCUGAAUAUGGGGGGACCAUCCUCCAAGGCUAAAUACUCCUGACUGACCGAUAGUGAACCAGUACCGUGAGGGAAAGGCGAAAAGAACCCCGGCGAGGGGAGUGAAAAAGAACCUGAAACCGUGUACGUACAAGCAGUGGGAGCACGCUUCGGCGUGUGACUGCGUACCUUUUGUAUAAUGGGUCAGCGACUUAUAUUCUGUAGCAAGGUUAACCGAAUAGGGGAGCCGAAGGGAAACCGAGUCUUAACUGGGCGUUAAGUUGCAGGGUAUAGACCCGAAACCCGGUGAUCUAGCCAUGGGCAGGUUGAAGGUUGGGUAACACUAACUGGAGGACCGAACCGACUAAUGUUGAAAAAUUAGCGGAUGACUUGUGGCUGGGGGUGAAAGGCCAAUCAAACCGGGAGAUAGCUGGUUCUCCCCGAAAGCUAUUUAGGUAGCGCCUCGUGAAUUCAUCUCCGGGGGUAGAGCACUGUUUCGGCAAGGGGGUCAUCCCGACUUACCAACCCGAUGCAAACUGCGAAUACCGGAGAAUGUUAUCACGGGAGACACACGGCGGGUGCUAACGUCCGUCGUGAAGAGGGAAACAACCCAGACCGCCAGCUAAGGUCCCAAAGUCAUGGUUAAGUGGGAAACGAUGUGGGAAGGCCCAGACAGCCAGGAUGUUGGCUUAGAAGCAGCCAUCAUUUAAAGAAAGCGUAAUAGCUCACUGGUCGAGUCGGCCUGCGCGGAAGAUGUAACGGGGCUAAACCAUGCACCGAAGCUGCGGCAGCGACACUAUGUGUUGUUGGGUAGGGGAGCGUUCUGUAAGCCUGUGAAGGUGUACUGUGAGGUAUGCUGGAGGUAUCAGAAGUGCGAAUGCUGACAUAAGUAACGAUAAAGCGGGUGAAAAGCCCGCUCGCCGGAAGACCAAGGGUUCCUGUCCAACGUUAAUCGGGGCAGGGUGAGUCGACCCCUAAGGCGAGGCCGAAAGGCGUAGUCGAUGGGAAACAGGUUAAUAUUCCUGUACUUGGUGUUACUGCGAAGGGGGGACGGAGAAGGCUAUGUUGGCCGGGCGACGGUUGUCCCGGUUUAAGCGUGUAGGCUGGUUUUCCAGGCAAAUCCGGAAAAUCAAGGCUGAGGCGUGAUGACGAGGCACUACGGUGCUGAAGCAACAAAUGCCCUGCUUCCAGGAAAAGCCUCUAAGCAUCAGGUAACAUCAAAUCGUACCCCAAACCGACACAGGUGGUCAGGUAGAGAAUACCAAGGCGCUUGAGAGAACUCGGGUGAAGGAACUAGGCAAAAUGGUGCCGUAACUUCGGGAGAAGGCACGCUGAUAUGUAGGUGAAGCGACUUGCUCGUGGAGCUGAAAUCAGUCGAAGAUACCAGCUGGCUGCAACUGUUUAUUAAAAACACAGCACUGUGCAAACACGAAAGUGGACGUAUACGGUGUGACGCCUGCCCGGUGCCGGAAGGUUAAUUGAUGGGGUUAGCGGUAACGCGAAGCUCUUGAUCGAAGCCCCGGUAAACGGCGGCCGUAACUAUAACGGUCCUAAGGUAGCGAAAUUCCUUGUCGGGUAAGUUCCGACCUGCACGAAUGGCGUAAUGAUGGCCAGGCUGUCUCCACCCGAGACUCAGUGAAAUUGAACUCGCUGUGAAGAUGCAGUGUACCCGCGGCAAGACGGAAAGACCCCGUGAACCUUUACUAUAGCUUGACACUGAACAUUGAGCCUUGAUGUGUAGGAUAGGUGGGAGGCUUUGAAGUGUGG